UACGUAGGGAGCAAGCGUUGUCCGGAAUCAUUGGGCGUAAAGCGCGCGUAGGCGGCCCUGUAAGUCCGUUGUGAAAGUCAAAGGCUCAACCUUUGAAAGCCGGUGGAUACUGUGGGGCUAGAGUACGGAAGAGGCGAGUGGAAUUCUCGGUGUAGCGGUGAAAUGCGUAGAUAUCGAGAGGAACACCUGCGGCGAAGGCGGGUUGCUGGGCUGACACUGACGCUGAUGCGCGAAAGCUAGGGGAGCGAACGGG
rnacentral:rRNA from 1 species